UACGGAGGGUGCAAGCGUUAAUCGGAAUUACUGGGCGUAAAGCGCACGCAGGUGGCUGAGUCAGUCGAUUGUGAAAGCCCUGGGCUUAACCUGGGAAUUGCAGUCGAUACUACUCGGCUCGAGUAUGGGAGAGGGCAGUGGAAUUCCCGGUGUAGCGGUGAAAUGCGUAGAUAUCGAGAGGAACACCUGCGGCGAAGGCGGGUUGCUGGGCUGACACUGACGCUGAAGUGCGAAAGCUAGGGGAGCGAACGGG
rnacentral:rRNA from 1 species